rnacentral:rRNA from 1 species
UACGUAGGUGGCAAGCGUUGUCCGGAUUUAUUGGGUUUAAAGGGUGCGUAGGCGGCCAUUUAAGUCAGUGCUGAAAUACUCUAGCUUAACUAGAGGGGUGGCAUUGAUACUGAUUGGCUUGAGUGAAGUCGAAGUAGGCGGAAUUGACGGUGUAGCGGUGAAAUGCUUAGAUAUCGUCAAGAACACCGAUAGUGAAGACAGCUUACUAGACUUCAACUGACGCUGAGGCACGAAAAGUGUGGGGGAUCAAACAGG